rnacentral:tRNA from 1 species
UUGGCAGAGUAGCGGACUUUUAAUCCGCGAGUUCCGGGUUCAAGUCCCGGU